GGGUUGUGAGGUUAAGCGACUAAGCGUACACGGUGGAUGCCCUGGCAGUCAGAGGCGAUGAAGGACGUGCUAAUCUGCGAUAAGCGUCGGUAAGGUGAUAUGAACCGUUAUAACCGGCGAUUUCCGAAUGGGGAAACCCAGUGUGAUUCGUCACACUAUCAUUAACUGAAUCCAUAGGUUAAUGAGGCGAACCGGGGGAACUGAAACAUCUAAGUACCCCGAGGAAAAGAAAUCAACCGAGAUUCCCCCAGUAGCGGCGAGCGAACGGGGAGGAGCCCAGAGCCUGAAUCAGUGUGUGUGUUAGUGGAAGCGUCUGGAAAGGCGCGCGAUACAGGGUGACAGCCCCGUACACAAAAAUGCACAUAUUGUGAGCUCGAUGAGUAGGGCGGGACACGUGGUAUCCUGUCUGAAUAUGGGGGGACCAUCCUCCAAGGCUAAAUACUCCUGACUGACCGAUAGUGAACCAGUACCGUGAGGGAAAGGCGAAAAGAACCCCGGCGAGGGGAGUGAAAAAGAACCUGAAACCGUGUACGUACAAGCAGUGGGAGCACAGAGCAAUCUGUGUGACUGCGUACCUUUUGUAUAAUGGGUCAGCGACUUAUAUUCUGUAGCAAGGUUAACCGAAUAGGGGAGCCGAAGGGAAACCGAGUCUUAACUGGGCGUUAAGUUGCAGGGUAUAGACCCGAAACCCGGUGAUCUAGCCAUGGGCAGGUUGAAGGUUGGGUAACACUAACUGGAGGACCGAACCGACUAAUGUUGAAAAAUUAGCGGAUGACUUGUGGCUGGGGGUGAAAGGCCAAUCAAACCGGGAGAUAGCUGGUUCUCCCCGAAAGCUAUUUAGGUAGCGCCUCGUGAAUUCAUCUCCGGGGGUAGAGCACUGUUUCGGCAAGGGGGUCAUCCCGACUUACCAACCCGAUGCAAACUGCGAAUACCGGAGAAUGUUAUCACGGGAGACACACGGCGGGUGCUAACGUCCGUCGUGAAGAGGGAAACAACCCAGACCGCCAGCUAAGGUCCCAAAGUCAUGGUUAAGUGGGAAACGAUGUGGGAAGGCCCAGACAGCCAGGAUGUUGGCUUAGAAGCAGCCAUCAUUUAAAGAAAGCGUAAUAGCUCACUGGUCGAGUCGGCCUGCGCGGAAGAUGUAACGGGGCUAAACCAUGCACCGAAGCUGCGGCAGCGACACUGUGUGUUGUUGGGUAGGGGAGCGUUCUGUAAGCCUGUGAAGGUGUACUGUGAGGUAUGCUGGAGGUAUCAGAAGUGCGAAUGCUGACAUAAGUAACGAUAAAGCGGGUGAAAAGCCCGCUCGCCGGAAGACCAAGGGUUCCUGUCCAACGUUAAUCGGGGCAGGGUGAGUCGACCCCUAAGGCGAGGCCGAAAGGCGUAGUCGAUGGGAAACAGGUUAAUAUUCCUGUACUUGGUGUUACUGCGAAGGGGGGACGGAGAAGGCUAUGUUGGCCGGGCGACGGUUGUCCCGGUUUAAGCGUGUAGGCUGGUUUUCCAGGCAAAUCCGGAAAAUCAAGGCUGAGGCGUGAUGACGAGGCACUACGGUGCUGAAGCAACAAAUGCCCUGCUUCCAGGAAAAGCCUCUAAGCAUCAGGUAACAUCAAAUCGUACCCCAAACCGACACAGGUGGUCAGGUAGAGAAUACCAAGGCGCUUGAGAGAACUCGGGUGAAGGAACUAGGCAAAAUGGUGCCGUAACUUCGGGAGAAGGCACGCUGAUAUGUAGGUGAAGUCCCUCGCGGAUGGAGCUGAAAUCAGUCGAAGAUACCAGCUGGCUGCAACUGUUUAUUAAAAACACAGCACUGUGCAAACACGAAAGUGGACGUAUACGGUGUGACGCCUGCCCGGUGCCGGAAGGUUAAUUGAUGGGGUCAGCGCAAGCGAAGCUCUUGAUCGAAGCCCCGGUAAACGGCGGCCGUAACUAUAACGGUCCUAAGGUAGCGAAAUUCCUUGUCGGGUAAGUUCCGACCUGCACGAAUGGCGUAAUGAUGGCCAGGCUGUCUCCACCCGAGACUCAGUGAAAUUGAACUCGCUGUGAAGAUGCAGUGUACCCGCGGCAAGACGGAAAGACCCCGUGAACCUUUACUAUAGCUUGACACUGAACAUUGAGCCUUGAUGUGUAGGAUAGGUGGGAGGCUUAGAAGUGUGGACGCCAGUCUGCAUGGAGCCGACCUUGAAAUACCACCCUUUAAUGUUUGAUGUUCUAACGUUGACCCGUGAUCCGGGUUGCGGACAGUGUCUGGUGGGUAGUUUGACUGGGGCGGUCUCCUCCUAAAGAGUAACGGAGGAGCACGAAGGUUGGCUAAUCCUGGUCGGACAUCAGGAGGUUAGUGCAAUGGCAUAAGCCAGCUUGACUGCGAGCGUGACGGCGCGAGCAGGUGCGAAAGCAGGUCAUAGUGAUCCGGUGGUUCUGAAUGGAAGGGCCAUCGCUCAACGGAUAAAAGGUACUCCGGGGAUAACAGGCUGAUACCGCCCAAGAGUUCAUAUCGACGGCGGUGUUUGGCACCUCGAUGUCGGCUCAUCACAUCCUGGGGCUGAAGUAGGUCCCAAGGGUAUGGCUGUUCGCCAUUUAAAGUGGUACGCGAGCUGGGUUUAGAACGUCGUGAGACAGUUCGGUCCCUAUCUGCCGUGGGCGCUGGAGAACUGAGGGGGGCUGCUCCUAGUACGAGAGGACCGGAGUGGACGCAUCACUGGUGUUCGGGUUGUCAUGCCAAUGGCACUGCCCGGUAGCUAAAUGCGGAAGAGAUAAGUGCUGAAAGCAUCUAAGCACGAAACUUGCCCCGAGAUGAGUUCUCCCUGACUCCUUGAGAGUCCUGAAGGAACGUUGAAGACGACGACGUUGAUAGGCCGGGUGUGUAAGCGCAGCGAUGCGUUGAGCUAACCGGUACUAAUGAACCGUGAGGCUUAACCUUACAACGCCGAAGCUGUU
rnacentral:rRNA from 1 species